rnacentral:rRNA from 1 species
UACAGAGGGUGCGAGCGUUAAUCGGAAUUACUGGGCGUAAAGGGUGCGUAGGUGGUUGCAUAAGUUAGGUGUGAAAGUCCUGGGCUUAACCUGGGGACUGCGCCUAAGACUGUGUGGCUAGAGUACUGUAGAGGAAGGUGGAAUUUCCAGUGUAGCGGUGAAAUGCGUAGAUAUUGGAAGGAACAUCGGCGGCGAAGGCGACUUUCUGGACAGAUACUGACACUGAGGCACGAGAGCAUGGGGAGCAAACAGG